AUUGAACGCUGGCGGCAGGCCUAACACAUGCAAGUCGAGCGGUAGAGAGGUGCUUGCACCUCUUGAGAGCGGCGGACGGGUGAGUAAUGCCUAGGAAUCUGCCUGGUAGUGGGGGAUAACGUCCGGAAACGGACGCUAAUACCGCAUACGUCCUACGGGAGAAAGCAGGGGACCUUCGGGCCUUGCGCUAUCAGAUGAGCCUAGGUCGGAUUAGCUAGUUGGUGGGGUAAUGGCUCACCAAGGCGACGAUCCGUAACUGGUCUGAGAGGAUGAUCAGUCACACUGGAACUGAGACACGGUCCAGACUCCUACGGGAGGCAGCAGUGGGGAAUAUUGGACAAUGGGCGAAAGCCUGAUCCAGCCAUGCCGCGUGUGUGAAGAAGGUCUUCGGAUUGUAAAGCACUUUAAGUUGGGAGGAAGGGUACUUACCUAAUACGUGAGUAUUUUGACGUUACCGACAGAAUAAGCACCGGCUAACUCUGUGCCAGCCGCCGCCGUAAUAC
rnacentral:rRNA from 1 species